UCCCUGGUGGUCUAGUGGCUAAGAAUACCUUGCUCUUACUGCUGUGGCCUGGGUUUGAUUCCUGGGCAGGGAA